UGGUUGGUGCUGACUGAAUCGACAGACUGAUUGCACUGCAGGUCAAGGCUUCAGUGAAUGGACAUACCAGGAAAGAGCAGGCUACAACAUUGGGUGAAUGGAAAACCAAAGUGGCAGAUCAUGGGCUGGGGAAUCCAUGGGACAACCGAGUUGCGGCCCUGAUUUGUUUUUGGCUGUUCUACCUUGCAGGGUUUGAAAAAAGGCCUUCUGCAGAAGGUAAUCGUGCCAAGAAAAUACAACAAAGACAGGGGGGUCAACACACUGUGACAAGAUGGAG